rnacentral:rRNA from 1 species
CACGUAGUUAGCCGGGGCUUCUUAGUCAGGUACCGUCAUUAUCUUCCCUGCUGAUAGAGCUUUACAUACCGAAAUACUUCUUCACUCACGCGGCGUCGCUGCAUCAGGGUUUCCCCCAUUGUGCAAUAUUCCCCACUGCUGCCUCCCGUAGGAGUCUGGGCCGUGUCUCAGUCCCAAUGUGGCCGUUCACCCUCUCAAGCCGGCUACUGAUCGUCGCCUUGGUAGGCCGUUACCCCACCAACAAGCUAAUCAGACGCGGGUCCAUCUCACAGCGAUAAAUCUUUGAAAGGAUCGUCAUGCGGCAAUCCCUUGUUAUGCGGUAUUAGCAGCCGUUUCCGGCUGUUGUCCCCCUCUGUGAGGCAGGUUACCCACGCGUUACUCACCCGUCCGCCACUCAGUCAUUACCAUCUUCCCUCCGAAAAGUUCCGUCGGUAGCGCUUCGUUCGACUUGCAUGUGUUAAGCACGCCGCCAGCCGUUCAUCCUGAGCCAGGAUCAAACUCUC